GCAGUGGCCCCUUUCUGUUCCUGAGGCACCGCGACCGACCUGGACGAUUCGAGUUGUGGCUCACCACCUCCGCCCGGCCCUGCUUCCAUCUCAGCACAGAGGACGCAGAGGACGCGGCGGCCUCCCUGCUUCCUGUGUCCCCCACAGCUGACUAUAAAGACAAGGGAGACCAGGACAGUGAGAAGACGGGGUCCCCACGAACGUAAUAGACAGGAGCGGCAAAGACAGCUCUCACCAGGCCCCCACGCCAGGACCAGUGAUCGCUCCU
rnacentral:lncRNA from 1 species